AGGCAGCAGUGGGGAAUAUUGGACAAUGGGGGCAACCCUGAUCCAGCCAUGCCGCGUGUGUGAAGAAGGCCUUCGGGUUGUAAAGCACUUUAAGCGAGGAGGAAGGUUUACUAGCUAAUACCUAGUAGAAUUGACGUUACUCGCAGAAUAAGCACCGGCUAACUCUGUGCCAGCAGCCGCGGUAAUACAGAGGGUGCAAGCGUUAAUCGGAAUUACUGGGCGUAAAGCGCGCGUAGGCGGUAUGUUAAGUCGGAUGUGAAAUCCCCUGGGCUCAACCUAGGCACUGCAUCCGAUACUGGCACACUAGAGUGUGGGAGAGGAAGGUAGAAUUCCCAGGUGUAGCGGUGAAAUGCGUAGAGAUCUGGAGGAAUACCGAUGGCGAAGGCAGCCUUCUGGCCUAACACUGACGCUGAGGUGCGAAAGCAUGGGGAGCAAACAGGAUUAGAUACCCUGGUAGUCCAUGCUGUAAACGAUGUCAACUAGCCGUUGGGAGCCUUGAGCUUUUAGUGGCGUAGCUAACGCGAUAAGUUGACCGCCUGGGGAGUANCGGUCGCAAGACUAAAACUCAAAUGAAUUGACGGGGGC
rnacentral:rRNA from 1 species